GUCUACAGCCAUACCACCCUGAACACACUCAAUCUUGUCUGAUCUCGCAAAGCUAAGCAGGGUCGGGCCUGGUUAGUACUUGGAAGGGAGACCACCUGGGAAUACCGAGUGAUGUAGGCU
rnacentral:rRNA from 1 species